GCUCAGCGUGGUGGAGCUGGAAAGGGCGGCGCGCUUCCGGCGCGACGCCGACCGCCGCCGGUUCCUGACCGGCGCCUGGCU
rnacentral:tRNA from 1 species